ACUCCUACGGGAGGCAGCAGUAGGGAAUCUUCGGCAAUGGACGAAAGUCUGACCGAGCAACGCCGCGUGAGUGAAGAAGGUUUUCGGAUCGUAAAACUCUGUUGUUAGAGAAGAACGUUGUGUAGAGUGGAAAAUUACACAAGUGACGGUAUCUAACCAGAAAGGGACGGCUAACUACGUGCCAGCAGCCGCGGUAAUA
rnacentral:rRNA from 1 species